UACAGAGGUGGCAAGCGUUGUUCGGAAUUACUGGGCGUAAAGAGCGUGUAGGCGGCCAUGCAGGUCCGUUGUGAAAACUCGAGGCUCAACCUCGAGACGCCGGUGGAAACCGUAUGGCUAGAGUCCGGAAGAGGAGAGUGGAAUUCCUGGUGUAGCGGUGAAAUGCGCAGAUAUCAGGAAGAACACCCGUGGCGAAGGCGGCUCUCUGGGACGUGACUGACGCUGAGACGCGAAAGCGUGGGGAGCAAACAGG
rnacentral:rRNA from 1 species